rnacentral:rRNA from 1 species
UACAGAGGUCCCAAGCGUUGUUCGGAUUCACUGGGCGUAAAGGGUGCGUAGGUGGCGAGGAAAGUCGGAUGUGAAAUCUCCAAGCUUAACUUGGAAAUGGCAUUGGAAACUACCUGGCUUGAGGUUUGGAGGGGGGACUGGAAUACUUGGUGUAGCAGUGAAAUGCGUAGAUAUCAAGUGGAACACCAGUGGCGAAGGCGAGUCCCUGGACAACACCUGACACUGAGGCACGAAAGCUAGGGGAGCAAACAGG